UUCUUUCUCUUAAUUUUCCUAGUAAUUUCGUGGCUCAUGCUUGUGAUUUAUUUCCAUAGCUUUCCCUUUUUGGUUUGGUCAUUCACUGCCCUGUUGUGUUUUACUUUUGCCGUGCCCUGUUUUUGCCAUAAAACCUUAAGCUUCACUCGUAUCUUGGUGAGUUUGGUGCUUGCCGUGAGUGUGUGUUCUGCUAUUACUUGUUGCCUCUCGGUUUCCCUUGAAUGAUUUUUGGGAUAUUUCAGCUGAGGAUCAGGACUACGAAGAAUUGGGUGAGAUGACUUUAGAAUAGUGGAUUAAGAAUAGAACGCUUUCGAUGAGUAUUGGUGAUUUUGAUAAUUAUGUGGUUGGUUUAAGUGAUAUGUUGAGAAGUUGUGAAUUUUUGGGAUUACUGUAUUGAGGAUUUUAUAUACGGGUAUGUGUGGUUAUUUAAAUUUAAAGUGUUUACGUU